UACGGGGGGGAGCAAGCGUUGUUCGGAUUUACUGGGCGUAAAGGGCGCGUAGGCGGCGCAACAAGUCACUUGUGAAAUCUCCGGGCUUAACCCGGAGCGGCCAAGUGAUACUGUCGUGCUAGAGUGCGGAAGGGGCUACUGGAAUUCCUGGUGUAGCGGUGAAAUGCGCAGAUAUCAGGAGGAACACCGGUGGCGAAGGCGGGUUGCUGGGCUGAUACUGACGCUGAGGCGCGAAAGCCAGGGGAGCGAACGGG
rnacentral:rRNA from 1 species